UCAGGAUGAACGCUAGCUACAGGCUUAACACAUGCAAGUCGAGGGGCAGCAUGGUCUAGCUUGCUAAGAUUGAUGGCGACCGGCGCACGGGUGAGUAACGCGUAUCCAACCUUCCCUAUAGUAGGGGAUAGCCCGUAGAAAUGCGGAUUAAUACCCUAUGUUGUAUUUUGAGGACAUCUGACGAAUACCAAAGGUUUACCGCUAUAGGAUGGGGAUGCGUCUGAUUAGGUUGUUGGCGGGUAACGGCCCACCAAGCCUACGAUCAGUAGGGGUUCUGAGAGGAAGGUCCCCCACAUUGGAACUGAGACACGGUCCAAACUCCUACGGGAGGCAGCAGUGAGGAAUAUUGGUCAAUGGGCGAGAGCCUGAACCAGCCAAGUAGCCGUGCAGGAUGACGGCCCUAUGGGUUGUAAACUGCUUUUAUGCGGGGAUAAAGUGAGGGACGUGUCCCUUAUUGUAGGUACCGCAUGAAUAAGGACCGGCUAAUUCCGUGCCAGCCGCCGC
rnacentral:rRNA from 1 species